rnacentral:rRNA from 1 species
ACUUCAGGACGGGGACAACAGUUGGAAACGACUGCCAAUACCCGAUGUGCCGCAAGGUGAAACCUAAUUGGCCUGAAGAAGAGCUUGCGUCUGAUUAGCUAGUUGGUGGGGUAAGAGCCUACCAAGGCGACGAUCAGUAGCUGGUCUGAGAGGAUGAGCAGCCACACUGGGACUGAGACACGGCCCAGACUCCUACGGGAGGCAGCAGUGGGGAAUUUUCCGCAAUGGGCGAAAGCCUGACGGAGCAACGCCGCGUGAGGGAGGAAGGUCUUUGGAUUGUAAACCUCUUUUCUCAAGGAAGAAGUUCUGACGGUACUUGAGGAAUCAGCCUCGGCUAACUCCGUGCCAGCAGCCGCGGUAAUACGGGGGAGGCAAGCGUUAUCCGGAAUUAUUGGGCGUAAAGCGUCCGCAGGUGGUCAGCCAAGUCUGCCGUCAAAUCAGGUUGCUUAACGACCUA